rnacentral:rRNA from 1 species
GACGAACGCUGGCGGCGUGCUUAACACAUGCAAGUCGAACGGAAAGGCCCUGCUUUUGUGGGGUGCUCGAGUGGCGAACGGGUGAGUAACACGUGAGUAACCUGCCCUUGACUUUGGGAUAACUUCAGGAAACUGGGGCUAAUACCGGAUAGGAGCUCCUGCUGCACGGUGGGGGUUGGAAAGUUUCGGCGGUUCGGGAUGGACUCGCGGCUUAUCAGCUUGUUGGUGGGGUAGUGGCUUACCAAGGCUUUGACGGGUAGCCGGCCUGAGAGGGUGACCGGCCACAUUGGGACUGAGAUACGGCCCAGACUCCUACGGGAGGCAGCAGUGGGGAAUAUUGCACAAUGGGCGGAAGCCUGAUGCAGCAACGCCGCGUGCGGGAUGACGGCCUUCGGGUUGUAAACCGCUUUCGCCUGUGACGAAGCGUGAGUGACGGUAAUGGGUAAAGAAGCACCGGCUAACUACGUG